UACGAGGGGGGCGAGCGUUGCUCGGAAUCACUGGGCGUAAAGGGUGCGUAGGCGGGUUUUUAAGUCAGAGGUGAAAUCCUGGAGCUCAACUCCAGAACUGCCUUUGAUACUGAAAGUCUUGAGUAUGGGAGAGGUGAGUGGAACUGCGAGUGUAGAGGUGAAAUUCGUAGAUAUUCGCAAGAACACCAGUGGCGAAGGCGGCUCACUGGCCCAUAACUGACGCUGAGGCACGAAAGCGUGGGGAGCAACAGG
rnacentral:rRNA from 1 species